rnacentral:tRNA from 1 species
GCCCGAUUAGCUCAGCUGGUUAGAGCGUCGUACUAAUAUCAGAAUUUCCUGAUAUCAAGUCUAUGCGAAGGUCAACAGUUCAAUCCUGUUAUUGGGCA